UUAGUAAAGCCUGCUCAAUGUAAAAAUAAAUAGCCGCAGAAUCUUCUGUGCUAAGGUAGCAUAAUAAUUUGCCUUUUAAUUAAAGGCUAGCAUGAAAGGUAUCACAUAUUGACAACUUUAUUAACUCAACAACUCGAACUUGCCAUUUUAGUAAAAAGGCUAAAAUCAAUAAAGUAGACGACAAGACCCUGACAAACUUUACAUCAUCGUUUUACUGGGGGGGUAAAAAAACUAAAUCUUUUUAUUUUAAAAUAACAGAAAAAUUCUAUUUGUUAUCCAAGUUACUGCAGGGAUAACAGCAUAAUUUUUUUUCAAAGACCUUAUUUAAAAAAAAGUUUGUGACCUCGAUGUUGAAUUAGAAUUCUAUAAAAAGCAAAAUUUUUAUAAGUAAGUCUGUUCGACUUUUAAUAUUCUACAUGAUUUGAGUUCAGACCGGCGCAAGCCAGGUCGGUUUCUAUCUCUUUUUAGAACUUUUUAGUACGAAAGGACCAAAAUUUUUAUUAUAUAUUC
rnacentral:rRNA from 1 species